CUACGGGAUGCUGCAGUGGGGAAUAUUGCACAAUGGGCGCAAGCCUGAUGCAGCCAUGCCGCGUGUAUGAAGAAGGCCUUCGGGUUGUAAAGUACUUUCAGCGGGGAGGAAGGGAGUAAAGUUAAUACCUUUGCUCAUUGACGUUACCCGCAGAAGAAGCACCGGCUAACUCCGUGCCAGCAGCCGCGGUAAUGCGGAGGGUGCAAGCGUUAAUCGGAAUUACUGGGCGUAAAGCGCACGCGUGCGGUUUGUUAAGUCAGAUGUGAAAUCCCCGGGCUCAACCUGGGAACUGCAUCUGAUACUGGCAAGCUUGAGUCUCGUAGAGGGGGGUAGAAUUCCAGGUGUAGCGGUGAAAUGCGUAGAGAUCUGGAGGAAUACCGGUGGCGAAGGCGGCCCCCUGGACGAAGACUGACGCUCAGGUGCGAAAGCGUGGGGAGCAAACAGGAUUAGAUACCCGAGUAGUC
rnacentral:rRNA from 1 species